AGGACCCUUGUCAGAGAUGAUGUUCCGGUCUGAUAUGUCAAUGUCUCAGCUGACAUUUUCCAUUUGCUCUGUAUCCUUUAAUCAAAACAUUUUUUCACCCCCAGACUUUGUCCUAGUGGUGAUCUCCAACAACUGUGGAAUGUUUCUUAGAAUGGGUCUAAAGAAAACAGAAUGCAAGCCAGAAAACGGCACCGGGAAGAGCAGUAACCACAUGUGAGAGGACGCCGUUUGGAUCACAGUGCAAAUAUUGCAGGGAGACCAGCUACUAUUUGAAGGGGGAGAUGACAUGAAGACCAACAGUGGGACAGAGAAGAUUAAGGAAAAAAAAAACUCCUCCCUUAUCCAAGAAAUUGAAGAAGCAGCUUUACUGCAUGACAUCAUAAGGGCAGCCAAAUGGUCCAGAACACCAGCGUUUCCAGGAAGAUGGUCCCUGCCUGAUGUUAUAGAGAUGGAAGAGCGGAACACUGAAAGAACUCCAAACCUGUGACUUCAUGAGUGAAGGGAAGAGAAUCAUGAAGCUGAAGGAUCCUUUCAUGUUCUCUUUUCAGUUGAAAAGUGACUGCAACAUUUUUAGAGCAGAAAUAAUGGAUGUGAGGAACUUAAAAGUGUAUAUGUGUUUUGAGGAGCAAUAAACAGUUUUGGCUGGUUGUUUCUU